rnacentral:rRNA from 1 species
AUUGAACGCUGGCGGCAGGCCUAACACAUGCAAGUCGAACGGAGUGGCGGACGGGUGAGUAAUGCCUAGGAAUCUGCCUGGUCGUGGGGGAUAACGUCCGGAAACGGGCGCUAAUACCGCAUACUAUCAGAUGAGCCUAGGUGGGAUUAGCUAGUUGGUGGGGUAAAGGCCUACCAAGGCGACGAUCCUUAACUGGUCUGAGAGGAUGAUCAGUCACACGUGGAUGUAGAGACGGUCCAGACUACUACGGGAGGCAGCAGUGGUGAAUAUUGGACCAUGGGCGAAAGCCUGAUUCAGCCAUGCCGCGUGUGUGAAGAAGGUCUUCGGAUUUUAAAGCACUUUAAGUUGGUAUGCGUUACCAACAGAAUAAGCACCGGCUAACUUCGUUCCAGCAGCCGCGGUAAUUC